rnacentral:rRNA from 1 species
GAAUUCGCCCUUUAGAGUUUGAUCCUGGCUCAGGACGAACGCUGGCGGCGCGCCUAACACAUGCAAGUCGAACGAGCGAGAGAGAGCUUGCUUUCUUGAGCGAGUGGCGAACGGGUGAGUAACGCGUGAGGAACCUGCCUCAAAGAGGGGGACAACAGUUGGAAACGACUGCUAAUACCGCAUAAGCCCACGGCUCGGCAUCGAGCAGAGGGAAAAGGAGCAAUCCGCUUUGAGAUGGCCUCGCGUCCGAUUAGCUAGUUGGUGAGGUAACGGCCCACCAAGGCGACGAUCGGUAGCCGGACUGAGAGGUUGAACGGCCACAUUGGGACUGAGACACGGCCCAGACUCCUACGGGAGGCAGCAGUGGGGAAUAUUGCACAAUGGGGGAAACCCUGAUGCAGCGACGCCGCGUGGAGGAAGAAGGUCUUCGGAUUGUAAACUCCUGUUGUUGAGGAAGAUAAUGACGGUACUCAACAAGGAAGUGACGGCUAACUACGUGCAAGCAGCCGCGGUAAAACGUAGGUCACAAGCGUUGUCCGGAAUUACUGGGUGUAAAGGGAGCGCAGGCGGGAAGACAAGUUGGAAGUGAAAUCCAUGGGCUCAACCCAUGAACUGCUUUCAAAACUGUUUUUCUUGAGUAGUGCAGAGGUAGGCGGAAUUCCCGGUGUAGCGGUGGAAUGCGUAGAUAUCGGGAGGAACACCAGUGGCGAAGGCGGCCUACUGGGCACCAACUGACGCUGAGGCUCGAAAGUGUGGGUAGCAAACAGGAUUAGAUACCCUGGUAGUCCACACUGUAAACGAUGAUUACUAGGUGUUGGAGGAUUGACCCCUUCAGUGCCGCAGUUAACACAAUAAGUAAUCCACCUGGGGAGUACGACCGCAAGGUUGAAACUCAAAGGAAUUGACGGGGGCCCGCACAAGCAGUGGAGUAUGUGGUUUAAUUCGACGCAACGCGAAGAACCUUACCAAGUCUUGACAUCCUGCGACGGUUCUGGAAACAGAACUUUCCUUCGGGACGCAGAGACAGGUGGUGCAUGGUUGUCGUCAGCUCGUGUCAUGAGAUGUUGGGUUAAGUCCCGCAACGAGCGCAACCCUUAUGGUCAGUUACUACGCAAGAGGACUCUGGCCAGACUGCCGUUGACAAAACGGAGGAAGGUGGGGAUGACGUCAAAUCAUCAUGCCCUUUAUGACUUGGGCUACACACGUACUACAAUGGCGUUAAACAAAGAGAAGCAAGACCGCGAGGUGGAGCAAAACUCAGAAACAACGUCCCAGUUCGGACUGCAGGCUGCAACUCGCCUGCACGAAGUCGGAAUUGCUAGUAAUCGCAGAUCAGCAUGCUGCGGUGAAUACGUUCCCGGGCCUUGCACACACCGCCCGUCA